UCGGGGCUUUCCUUCGGGACAGGGGAGACAGGUGGUGCAUGGUUGUCGUCAGCUCGUGUCGUGAGAUGUUGGGUUAAGUCCCGCAACGAGCGCAACCCCUAUCUUUAGUAGCCAGCGGCCAGGCCGGGCACUCUAGAGAGACCGCCAGGGAUAACCUGGAGGAAGGUGGGGAUGACGUCAAAUCAUCAUGCCCCUUAUGAGCAGGGCUACACACGUGCUACAAUGGCGUAAACAAAGGGAGGCAGAGCCGCGAGGCCGAGCAAAUCUCAAAAAUAACGUCUCAGUUCGGAUUGUAGUCUGCAACUCGACUACAUGAAGCUGGAAUCGCUAGUAAUCGCGAAUCAGAAUGUCGCGGUGAAUACGUUCCCGGGUCUUGUACACACCGCCCGUCACACCAUGGGGGUCAGUAACGCCCGAAGUCAGUGACCCAACCGUAAGGAGGGAGCUGCCGAAGGUGGGACCGAUAACUGGGGUGAAGUCGUAACAAGGUAGCCGUAUCGG
rnacentral:rRNA from 1 species